GAAAUGCGAUAAGUAAUGUGAAUUGCAGAAUUCAGUGAAUCAUCGAAUCUUUGAACGCACAUUGCGCCCUUCGGUAUCCCGGAGGGCAUGCCUGUUCGAGCGUCAUUGCAAUCCUUCAAGCGUAGCUUGGUAUUGGGCUCUCGCCCCCCUCCCGAGGAGGGCGGGCCCGAAAGUCAGUGGCGGCCCCGGGGCCACUUCGAGCGUAGUAAUAACCACUCCCCGCUCUGGAGGUGCCGUGCCGGGCCCGGCCAGUCAACCCCAUCUUCUCAAUGAUUGACCUCGGAUCAGGUAGGGAUACCCGCUGAACUUAA
rnacentral:misc_RNA from 1 species